CCUCUAUGCCCAAUUUUUUCUCCUGUUCAAUUAAGUUGAUUACCGCUCUGCAGUUGUUUAUGUUUAUUUGAUUCGAGGACCUUGAUGAUUUUAUGCAGUGCAAUGUGUGGCCAAUUUUGUUUAUGGGAUACCAGGGACUGGAGGCAAAUUUAAGCUAUUCUGUUUCUUCCAUCAAAUUAAUUAAGGGAAUUGGAUUAUGGAUUAUAUUCCUGAUUUUCAGUUCAGAUUGCUUCUAUUAUAUGCAGUGAUGAAUGCUCUUGGGUAGUGGAAGGAGCGCGCGCUUGUGGUGCUAAGAGUAUUGACAGUCAAAUUUACAUAUUUUGGUUGUUGAAUGCUGAAUGCUGAAUGCUGAUUGUUGGCUAGGAGUAGUAGUCUUGCUUGCCUUUAAUCCACUGAUAGUGGUAUCUAAUGAAAGCUGAAACUUUUAGAUGGAAAUAUUAUUAGGUUUUCACGAUAUGGAGUUCUGGCAUGGCAUCAAAUGUUUCUGUUUCAGUGUGUUGAAAAUUUCAUUUAACGUCACUUUUGAUUGUUCAUGUUUCACUUCUCUAGAACUCAAUCUCUUUUCUUCUAUUACUGCUAACCACGCUACGACAGCUUGACCAAGUCAAGGGCUCUGAUCUAUUAUUUGAAACAAAGGAAUUACAUUUAAUUUUCUUUGUUGCUUAAUUUAUUCUUCAAGAUUUUGUAACUAAAUAAUUGACUUGUAUCGCAAAUAUGGUUGUAUUUGUGAUAGGUUUCUGAUUCUUUUGCCAAAA